rnacentral:rRNA from 1 species
CCCGCACAAGCGGUGGAGCAUGUGGUUCAAUUCGACGCAACGCGCAGAACCUUACCAGCCCUUGACAUGGGACUCGCCGGGAGCAGAGACGCUCCCUUCGGUUCGGCCGGAGUCCGCACAGGUGCUGCAUGGCUGUCGUCAGCUCGUGUCGUGAGAUGUUGGGUUAAGUCCCGCAACGAGCGCAACCCUCGUCUCCAGUUGCCAUCAGGUUAAGCUGGGCACUUUGGAGAAACUGCCGGUGACAAGCCGGAGGAAGGUGGGGAUGACGUCAAGUCCUCAUGGCCCUUACGGGCUGGGCUACACACGUGCUACAAUGGCGGUGACAAUGGGAAGCAAUGGCGCGAGCCGGAGCCGAUCCUUAAAAACCGUCUCAGUUCGGAUUGCACUCUGCAACUCGAGUGCAUGAAGGUGGAAUCGCUAGUAAUCGAGGAUCAGCAUGCCUCGGUGAAUACGUUCCCGGGCCUU